GUGGACGCCAGUCUGCAUGGAGCCGACCUUGAAAUACCACCCUUUAAUGUUUGAUGUUCUAACGUGGACCCGUGAUCCGGGUUGCGGACAGUGUCUGGUGGGUAGUUUGACUGGGGCGGUCUCCUCCUAAAGAGUAACGGAGGAGCACGAAGGUUGGCUAAUCCUGGUCGGACAUCAGGAGGUUAGUGCAAUGGCAUAAGCCAGCUUGACUGCGAGCGUGACGGCGCGAGCAGGUGCGAAAGCAGGUCAUAGUGAUCCGGUGGUUCUGAAUGGAAGGGCCAUCGCUCAACGGAUAAAAGGUACUCCGGGGAUAACAGGCUGAUACCGCCCAAGAGUUCAUAUCGACGGCGGUGUUUGGCACCUCGAUGUCGGCUCAUCACAUCCUGGGGCUGAAGUAGGUCCCAAGGGUAUGGCUGUUCGCCAUUUAAAGUGGUACGCGAGCUGGGUUUAGAACGUCGUGAGACAGUUCGGUCCCUAUCUGCCGUGGGCGCUGGAGAACUGAGGGGGGCUGCUCCUAGUACGAGAGGACCGGAGUGGACGCAUCACUGGUGUUCGGGUUGUCAUGCCAAUGGCACU
rnacentral:rRNA from 3 species